rnacentral:rRNA from 1 species
GAUGAACGCUGGCGGCGUGCCUAAUACAUGCAAGUCGAGCGAACAGACGAGGAGCUUGCUCCUCUGACGUUAGCGGCGGACGGGUGAGUAACACGUGGAUAACCUACCUAUAAGACUGGGAUAACUUCGGGAAACCGGAGCUAAUACCGGAUAAUAUAUUGAACCGCAUGGUUCAAUAGUGAAAGACGGUUUUGCUGUCACUUAUAGAUGGAUCCGCGCCGCAUUAGCUAGUUGGUAAGGUAACGGCUUACCAAGGCGACGAUGCGUAGCCGACCUGAGAGGGUGAUCGGCCACACUGGAACUGAGACACGGUCCAGACUCCUACGGGAGGCAGCAGUAGGGAAUCUUCCGCAAUGGGCGAAAGCCUGACGGAGCAACGCCGCGUGAGUGAUGAAGGUCUUCGGAUCGUGAAACUCUGUUAUUAGGGAAGAACAAAUGUGUAAGUAACUAUGCACGUCUUGACGGUACCUAAUCAGAAAGCCACAGCUAACUACGUG